UUGUCAGGGGUUCAGGAGCAGAGGCACAGGAAAGGGAGGAAAUAGAGAGCGAGGGGGAGGAGUCCGAAGGAAAUGUUAGCGAUGACAGCGGUCCGAGGUCUCUGAGUCUUUCCAGCGAAUCGGAAGAUUCACAGAAAGGGGCUCCCUUGGUCAGAGCAAGGGAGGUGCCGAGGGGGACACCCCAGGAAGAAGGGGCCAGAGGGGACUCAGAGAGCAGCAGUUGGAAAUCAGGACCAGCGUCCACACCAGAGUGCAGUAGGGGGGAGGAGUCCCAGGCAUCGGGAUCAGGCGGCGCACUGCCAGUGGGAGGACAUGAGUCAGGAUUGGCCACGCCUCCAUCGGGGAGCGAGGAAACGGUCGAGAGGAAGGUUGAAGGCUGGGCGCGCGCGCCAAGUUCAAAUGUACAGGAGGGCGGCGCAGUUGGCAGCCCGGAUAGGGAGCCAGGUCCCAAAGCCCGCCGAAAAGAGGGGGAGGAGUCAGGAGGGUCAGCGUCAGAAGAAUCCAGGAAGGAAGGGACCCCGGGGGGUAGCAGGACCCAGAGGAGAAAGGAGAGACGUAAGAGGUGGAGUAAGGCUAGAAUCUUAAACUGGUGUACAGGGGGCGGAGACUCAGAUGGAGCUUCGCCGAUCUAACCCCUAGACGUAGAGCUGGGGCGCUCCGGCUUGAAAAUGGAAACUGUACUUCAAUAAAGACUUUUGCACAUU